rnacentral:rRNA from 1 species
AGGGAAUCUUCCACAAUGGACGAAAGUCUGAUGGAGCAACGCCGCGUGAGUGAUGAAGGCCUUCGGGUCGUAAAGCUCUGUUGUUAGGGAAGAACAAGUAUCGGAGUAACUGCCGGUACCUUGACGGUACCUAACCAGAAAGCCACGGCUAACUACGUGCCAGCAGCCGCGGUAAUACGUAGGUGGCAAGCGUUGUCCGGAAUUAUUGGGCGUAAAGCGCGCGCAGGCGGUCCUUUAAGUCUGAUGUGAAAGCCCACGGCUCAACCGUGGAGGGUCAUUGGAAACUGGGGGACUUGAGUGCAGAAGAGGAAAGCGGAAUUCCACGUGUAGCGGUGAAAUGCGUAGAGAUGUGGAGGAACACCAGUGGCGAAGGCGGCUCUCUGGUCUGUAACUGACGCUGAGGCGCGAAAGCGUGGGGAGCAAAC